GAUGGGGGGCAAGUGUUCUUCGGAAUGACUAGGCGUAAAGGGCACGUAGGCAGUGAAUCUGGUUGAAAGUCAAAGUCACCAAAAACUGGCAAAAUGGUCUCGAAACCAAUUUUCUUGAGUGAGACAGAGGAGAGUGGAAUUUCGUGUGUAGGGGUGAAAUCUGUAAAUCUACGAAGGAAUGCCAAAAGCGAAGGCAGCUCUCUGGGUCCCUACCGACGCUGGGGUGAGAAAGCAUGGGGAGCAAACAUG
rnacentral:rRNA from 1 species